GGAGGGUGCAAGCGUUAUCCGGAUUCACUGGGUUUAAAGGGUGCGUAGGUGGGUUGGUAAGUCAGUGGUGAAAUCUCCGGGCUUAACUCGGAAACUGCCGUUGAUACUAUCAAUCUUGAAUCUCGUGGAGGUAAGCGGAAUAUGUCAUGUAGCGGUGAAAUGCUUAGAUAUGACAUAGAACACCGAUAGCGAAGGCAGCUUGCUACACGAGUAUUGACACUGAGGCACGAAAGCGUGGGGAUCAAACAGGAUUAGAUACCCUGGUAGUCCACGCCCUAAACGAUGGAUACUCGACAUACGCGAUACACAGUGUGUGUCUGAGCGAAAGCAUUAAGUAUCCCACCUGGGAAGUACGACCGCAAGGUUGAA
rnacentral:rRNA from 1 species